rnacentral:rRNA from 1 species
GAUGAACGCUAGCGGCUGGCUUAAUACAUGCAAGUCGAGUGGCAGCACAGAUAGCAAUAUUGGGUGGCGACCGGCUAACGGGUGCGGAACACGUACACAACCUUCCUUCUGGUGGGGGAUAGCCUUUGGAAACGGAGAUUAAUACCCCAUAAGAUAUUGUGACCGCAUGGUUAUGAUAUUAAAGAUUUAUUGCCAGAAGAUGGGUGUGCGUAUGAUUAGGUAGUUGGUGAGGUAUAGGCUUACCAAGCAGACGAUCAUUAACUGGUGUGAGAGCGCGAGCAGUCACACGGGAACUGAGACACGGGCCCGAAUGAUACGGGAAGCAGCAGAAAGUAAUAUUAGUAAAUGGACGGAAGUCUGAACCAGCCAGGCCGCGUGGAUGAUGAAGGUCCUCUGGAUUGUAAACUUCUUUUAUAUAGGGCGAAAAAGGGCCAUUCUUGGUCAACUGACGGUACCAUAUGAAUAAGCACCGGCUAACUCCGUGCCAGCCGCCGCCGUAACAC